CAGUUCGGAUUGGAGUCUGCAACUCGACUCCGUGAAGCUGGAUUCGCUAGUAAUCGCGCAUCAGCCAUGGCGCGGUGAAUGCGUUCCCGGGCCUUGUACACACCGCCCGUCAAGCCAUGGGAGUCGGGAGUGCCUGAAGUUCGUGACCGUCACAGGAGCGACCUAAGGCAAGACCGAUGACUGGGGCUAAGUCGUAACAAGGUACC
rnacentral:rRNA from 1 species